AAAUUGAAGAGUUUGAUCAUGGCUCAGAUUGAACGCUGGCGGCAGGCCUAACACAUGCAAGUCGAACGGUAACAGGAAGCAGCUUGCUGCUUUGCUGACGAGUGGCGGACGGGUGAGUAAUGUCUGGGAAACUGCCUGAUGGAGGGGGAUAACUACUGGAAACGGUAG
rnacentral:rRNA from 1 species